rnacentral:rRNA from 1 species
UUAAAAUUAUAGCCAAACAAACCUAAACUACCAAAAAACAAAACAAACCAUUUAAUUUAAUAGUAUGGGCGAUAGAAAUUUAUUAUGAGCAAUAAAAAAAGUUCCGGAAGGGAAAGAAGAAAUUAAAAUGGAAUUAAUUAUUAAAACCAAAGAAAGAAAAGACUUAACCCUGGACCUUUUGGAUAAAGGGCUAACAAGUCCCACCUAACCAAAAGAAAUUAAGUUAGCCCCCCCGAAACUUGACCAACUACUUAAGAACAGCAUUAACCCAAACCCACCCGUCUCUGGGGCAAAAGAAUGGGAAGACUUUUGGGUAGAGGGGAAAAGCCUAACGAGCCUAGUGAUAGCUGGUUACUUGAGAAAUGAAUAUUAGUUCAGCUUAAAGCAUCUUUAUUAUUAAAAAAAUAAAAAUAGCACUUUAAAGUUAACUUAUAGGGGUACAGCCCUAUUUAUAAAGGAUACGACCUACAUAAUGAAUAAAGAUUAUAUCAACAAAAGAAAUUAACCGCGUAGGCCUAAAAGCAGCCACCACAAGAAAGCGUCAAAGCUCAACUUAACAACCCCCUUAUUAUACUAAUAAAAAAAUCUAAAUUCACAAAACAUAUCAAGCCCAUCUACUAGUAGAUAAGUUUAUACUAGAAUGAGUAACAAGAACAAAUUCUCUACAUGCAAGCGUAAAUCAGAACGAAAGUAUCACUGAUAAUUAACAACUUUAAAUACCCAACAACAAGAAAAACACAUUAAAACAAUUGUUAACCCAACACAGGAGCAUUAAAAAAGAUUUAAAGAUUAAAAAGGAACUCGGCAACCAUAGAGCUCCGCCUGUUUACCAAAAACAUCGCCUCUUGCCCUCCCAAUAUAAGAGGUCCCGCCUGCCCAGUGAUUAAUUUUAACGGCCGCGGUAUCAUGACCGUGCAAAGGUAGCGUAAUCACUUGUCUUUUAAAUAAAGACCUGUAUGAAAGGCAAAACGAAAGCUCAACUGUCUCUUUAAUCUAAUCAGUGUAAAUUAAUUUCUUC